rfam:Camelus ferus unplaced genomic scaffold scaffold2748, whole genome shotgun sequence.
GAAGGUAUAGCUCAAGUUGUAGAGCACAUGCUUAGCAUGCCCUAGGUCCUGGGUUCAAUCCCCAGUACCUCUU